GUGCUCACUUUGGCAUCACAUAUACUAAAAUUGGAAUGAUACAGAGAAGAUGAGCAUGGCCCCUGUGCAAGGAUGAUACACAAAUUCCCGUAUAUAUAUAUUUUU
ensembl:snRNA U6 U6 spliceosomal RNA